GCACUGGUGCUUUAGUGGAAGGAUUCUUGCCUUCUACUCAGAAGACCUGGGUUCUGUUCCUAGCCAAUGCA
rnacentral:tRNA from 1 species